rnacentral:rRNA from 1 species
GCAUAUCAAUAAGCGGAGGAAAAGAAACCAACAGGGAUUGCCUCAGUAACGGCGAGUGAAGCGGCAAGAGCUCAACUUUGGAAUCGCUCCGGCGAGUUGUAGUCUGGAGGUGGCCACCACGAGGUGUUCUAGCAGCAGGCAAGUCCUUUGGAACAAGGCGCCAGCGAGGGUGACAGCCCCGUACCUGCUUUUGCUAGUGCUUCCUGUGGCCCACCGACGAGUCGAGUUGUUUGGGAAUGCAGCUCUAAGUGGGUGGUAAAUUCCAUCUAAGGCUAAAUAUUGGCGAGAGACCGAUAGCGAACAAGUACAGUGAUGGAAAGAUGAAAAGCACUUUGAAAAGAGAGUGAAACAGUACGUGAAAUUGUUGAAAGGGAAGGGCUUGCACCCAGACACGGUUUCGGCCGGGCCAGCAUCAAGUAGAACGGGGUUAAAAGACUUGGGGAAUGUAGCUACUUCGGUAGUGUUAUAGCCCUUGGUGAUGACCCCUGUUUUGCUUGAGGACAGCGGUCUCUAGGAUGCUGGCGCAAUGGUUGCAAGCCACCCGUCUUGAAACACGGA